rnacentral:rRNA from 1 species
CAGUCGCCGCGGUAAUACGUAGGGUGCGAGCGUUAAUCGGAUUUACUGGGCGUAAAGCGUGCGCAGGCGGCCCGUUAAGACAGAUGUGAAAUCCCUGGGCCCAACCUAGGGAUUGCGCUUGUGACUGGCGGGCUCGAGUACGGUAGAGGGGGGUGGAAUUCCUGGUGUAGCAGUGAAAUGCGUAGAGAUCAGGAGGAACACCGAUGGCGAAGGCAGCCCCCUGGGCCUGUACUGACGCUCAUGCACGAAAGCGUGGGGAGCAAACAGGAUUAGAUACCCCAGUAGUCCCUGUCUCUUAUAC